rnacentral:rRNA from 1 species
CCUACGGGAGGCUGCAGUGAGGAAUAUUGGUCAAUGGGCGGGAGCCUGAACCAGCCAAGUCGCGUGAGGGAAGACGGUCCUAUGGAUUGUAAACCUCUUUAGGCGGGGAGCAAUGCCGGGCACGCGUGCCCGGAGGGAGAGUACCCGCAGAAUAAGCAUCGGCUAACUCCGUGCCAGCAGCCGCGGUAAUACGGAGGAUGCGAGCGUUAUCCGGAUUUAUUGGGUUUACAGGGUGCGUAGGCGGGAUUUUAAGUCAGCGGUAAAAUGGCGGGGCUCAACGCGGGCCGGCCGUUGAAACUGGGGUUCUUGAGUGGGCGAGAAGUAUGCGGAAUGCGUGGUGUAGCGGUGAAAUGCGUAGAUAUCAGGAGGAACACCGGCGGCGAAGGCGGCCUGCUGGACCGCGACUGACGUUGAGGCUCGAAAGCGUGGGGAGCGAACAGGAUUAGAUACCCCAGUAGUC